rnacentral:misc_RNA from 1 species
GUGAAUCAUCAAAUCUUUGAACGCAUAUUGCACUCUCUGGUAUUCCGGAGAGUAUGCCUGUUUGAGGGUAAUUAAAAAGUAUCUUUACCAAUUUUUUUUGGUCAAAGGAAAUGAGUUCUCCGCGUUUAUAGCGGUAGCUUGAAAUAAAUGGUAGUCUCAUUUUAGUCGAGACGCGUAAUAAUAUUAUUUCGAGAAAUCUUUAUUAUGUGACUAUCA